rnacentral:rRNA from 1 species
UACGAAGGGGGCUAGCGUUGCUCGGAUUUACUGGGCGUAAAGGGCGCGUAGGCGGACAGUUAAGUCGGGGGUGAAAGCCCAGGGCUUAACCCUGGAAUUGCCUUUAAGACUGCAUCGCUAGAAUUGUGGAGAGGUAAGUGGAAUUCCGAGUGUAGAGGUGAAAUUCGUAGAUAUUCGGAAGAACACCAGUGGCGAAGGCGACUUACUGGACACAUAUUGACGCUGAGGUGCGAAAGCGUGGGGAGCAAACAGG